rnacentral:rRNA from 1 species
GACGAACGCUGGCGGCGUGCUUAACACAUGCAAGUCGAACGGAAAGGCCCUGCUUUUGUGGGGUGCUCGAGUGGCGAACGGGUGAGUAACACGUGAGUAACCUGCCCUUGACUUUGGGAUAACUUCAGGAAACUGGGGCUAAUACCGGAUAGGAGCUCCUGCUGCAUGGUGGGGGUUGGAAAGUUUCGGCGGUUGGGGAUGGACUCGCGGCUUAUCAGUUUGUUGGUGGGGUAGUGGCUUACCAAGGCUUUGACGGGUAGCCGGCCUGAGAGGGUGACCGGCCACAUUGGGACUGAGAUACGGCCCAGACUCCUACGGGAGGCAGCAGUGGGGAAUAUUGCACAAUGGGCGGAAGCCUGAUGCAGCAACGCCGCGUGCGGGAUGACGGCCUUCGGGUUGUAAACCGCUUUCGCCUGUGACGAAGCGUGAGUGACGGUAAUGGGUAAAGAAGCACCGGCUAACUACGUGCCAGCAGCCGCGGUGAUACGUAGGGUGCGAGCGUUGUCCGGAUUUAUUGGGCGUAAAGGGCUCGUAGGUGAUUGAUCGCGUCGGAAGUGUAAUCUUGGGGCUUAACCCUGAGCGUGCUUUCGAUACGGGUUGACUUGAGGAAGGUAGGGGAGAAUGGAAUUCCUGGUGGAGCGGUGGAAUGCGCAGAUAUCAGGAGGAACACCAGUGGCGAAGGCGGUUCUCUGGGCCUUUCCCGACGCUGAGGAGCGAAAGCGUGGGGAGCGAACAGGCUUAGAUACCCUGGUAGUCCACGCUGUAAACGGUGGGUACUAGGUGUGGGGUCCAUUCCACGGGUUCCGUGCCGUAGCUAACGCUUUAAGUACCCCGCCUGGGGAGUACGGCCGCAAGGCUAAAACUCAAAGGAAUUGACGGGGCCCCGCACAAGCGGCGGAGCAUGCGGAUUAGUUCGAUGCAACGCGUAGAACCUUACCUGGGUUUGACAUGGAUCGGGAGUGCUCAGAGAUGGGUGUGCCUCUUUUGGGGUCGGUUCACAGGUGGUGCAUGGCUGUCGUCAGCUCGUGUCGUGAGAUGUUGGGUUAAGUCCCGCAACGAGCGCAACCCUUGUUCACUGUUGCCAGCACGUUAUGGUGGGGACUCAGUGGAGACCGCCGGGGUCAACUCGGAGGAAGGUGGGGAUGACGUCAAGUCAUCAUGCCCCUUAUGUCCAGGGCUUCACGCAUGCUACAAUGGCUGGUACAGAGAGUGGCGAGCCUGUGAGGGUGAGCGAAUCUCGGAAAGCCGGUCUCAGUUCGGAUUGGGGUCUGCAACUCGACCUCAUGAAGUCGGAGUCGCUAGUAAUCGCAGAUCAGCAACGCUGCGGUGAAUACGUUCCCGGG